UACGGAGGGUGCAAGCGUUAUCCGGAUUUACUGGGUUUAAAGGGUGCGUAGGUGGGUAGGUAAGUCAGUGGUGAAAUCUUCAAGCUUAACUUGGAAACUGCCAUUGAUACUAUUUAUCUUGAAUACUUUGGAGGUAAGCGGAAUAUGUCAUGUAGCGGUGAAAUGCUUAGAUAUGACAUAGGACACCAAUUGCGAAGGCAGCUUACUACACAGUGAUUGACACUGAGGCACGAAAGCGUGGGGAUCAAACAGG
rnacentral:rRNA from 1 species